CACAGGGACAGGAACCCCAUGUGAAGGAGGGUAAAGCAGCCCCCUGUGCGCUGAGCGAGUGCUGAAGGAUGUGAGGACCACUGUGUCAGGAAUCUCAGCAGUAGGAGUGCAGGAAGACUUCCAGCACCCACGCUUGCUUUGAGAUCCGACACAGUGAGAACUCCACCCACUGCCUCGCUCACAGUAGGACUCCUGGUUUGAGAUGAUUGAGGGGAGUCUGAGGAGUUAUGAACAAAUGCACAGUUCAAUCUCUAGAACUCUGCUGCCUCACAUACAGUAGGACUCCUGUUUCUUUGGUCAUUCAGUUGGAGUCCGAGGAGCUGAGGAGAAAUACAGAGACUGGAGAGCUCUGCAGCUCCUAUCGGCUCAUCAGUCUGGUCAGCCACCUUGGAAGCCAGGUGUCAACUGCAAUGGCAUGGGGGCAGGAACCACAUGUGGAGGAGGGGAAAGCAGCCCCCUGUGCGCUGAGCGAGUGCUGAAGGAUGUGAGGACCGCUGUGUCAGGAAUCUCAGCAGUAGGAGUGCAGGAAGACUUCCAGCACCCACGCUUGCUUUGAGAUCCGACACAGUGAGAACUCCACCCACUGCCUCGCGCACAGUAGGACUCCUGGUUUGAGACAAUUCAGGGGAGUCCGAGGAGUUAUGAAGAAAUGCACAAAACUCUGCUGCCUCUCACACAGUAGGACUCCUGUUUUUUUUUUUGGUCAUUCAGUUGGAGUCUAAGGAACUGAAGAGAAAUGCAGAGCUGUCUGGACAAAGUUGAUCAAACCAGAGGGGCAAUAGUUUUCUGAUGAGAUCCCUGGGGUUCUUUGGACAACAGCCAGGCUAACAUCGAUUCAAG